rnacentral:rRNA from 1 species
UACGUAGGGUGCAAGCGUUGUCCGGAAUUAUUGGGCGCAAAGAGCUCGUAGGCGGUUUGUCGCGUCUGCUGUGAAAACUCGGGGCUUAACCCCGGGCCUGCAGUGGGUACGGGCAGACUAGAGUGCGGUAGGGGAGACUGGAAUUCCUGGUGUAGCGGUGAAAUGCGCAGAUAUCAGGAGGAACACCGGUGGCGAAGGCGGGUCUCUGGGCCGUAACUGACGCUGAGGAGCGAAAGCGUGGGGAGCGAACAGG